ACAGCAAGACAAAGGAAGAGAUAGGAGAAAUGAAGGGUUCCAGACUAGAAUGUUCCUGUGCAGAAGGCACUUUCAGAUAUAACCAUUGUUACAUGUGUGUAGUUUAUUCAACACUACUGUGUAUAUAGUGGACAAACUUAAGUCCAUUUUUGAAACAUCUAGUCUUUCUAGAUGUUUAGAAGUGCACAAAGUAUGUUAAAAGUAGAGGUAGUAAAAUAACACAUUUUGUAGAUACCCUUUUGUUAAAAUUCAUUUUAAAUACUGUGUUUUGGAAAUGAGAUGAUCAAAACGAUCAAGCCACCUCUGAGCAGUACACGUCAUUAUACUUGUGCUGGUUCAGCAGGGAGGGAGAGGAAAGUGCAAAGGGCUUUAUACCAGUAUGUUUAUAGUUAGGCCAGAUUAACCAUCUUCCCGUGUGCCUGUGCAUUUUGUUUACUUAGCUGUGUAUAUAGUGUAUAUGAAGGACAACUGUCCUAAUUACAACAUCUAGUCCUUCUAGAUGUUACAGAGGUUGCCAGUGUAUGACAGAAGUAGUUAGUAGACAAAUACAUUGUGUACAGUUUGUGUUAAAUUCCUAGGAAAGACUUCUGAGAACUUGAGGAAGUGGAAUUGUUAAAAUACCCUCCGAGCAUUACGGAUGUUUUUUACACUUGUCCACAGGGUUGAUUGAGAGGAGCAGAGGAAGUGUUCUAGGCCGGAGUCCUAGUUCCUUCCCGUUUAGAAGAUACUCAGAUUACAGCCUCUGAGUACGAUUUAUUCACUGCGACUCUGUGUGUAGUGAACAAAUUUAGAUCCCUAUUUGAAACAUCUGGUCCUUCUAGAUGUUUGGAAGUGCACAGCAUAUGUUAAAAGAGUUAAAGUAACACCCUGUAAGUAUUUUUUUCUUGUUAAUUCAUAGGAAUGAUUGUAUUUGGGAAUGGAAUUGUCAGACGUGGAUGUCUUGGAGAGUGUGCCGACUGUUCACGGGGGAGGGAAGAAAAUGCAGAGACAGGCUCUGUGCCCCUGAGUCUAGACAAAUUCAGAUUGUCUAACAUUGUUACGUAUGCGAUUUUAGUUAAUACUGCUAUAUAUCCAAGGAUAAACAAGUCUUAAUGCUCGAAAUAUAUUAAAAGUAGAGGUAGUAAAGUAAUCCCUUUAUAAAUGCCCUUUUGUUAGUUUUAGGCAGGUGUGUCCUGUAUUUAGUCAUUGAAAUGGUGGAGGGGAAAAGAGGAAGGGUGAAGGGAAGGGCUCUUUGCUAGUGUCUCUAUAUCUAGAAGAAAGUGUUAGCUUAUAACCAUAGGUCUGUAUGUGCAUUUUUUGUAAACUACCUGUGUUUAUUAUGGACAAGAUUCAUUAUUUUGCAACAUCUUGAGCUUUUUAGAUGUCCUGAGGUGACAGUAUAUGAUAAAAAGUAGAGCUAGUGAAUUAACCAGUUUGCAAAUAGCUUUUUGUUACAAUUGAUAGAAAAGAAGCAUCUUGGCCAUGGAAUUGUUAAACCAUCUCAGAAACGGACAUAAGGACUUGCUCAAUGGGCUGGUAGCAGAGGGGCAGGAGGAAGGCCGAGGGAGGGAGGGAUGUGGAUGUGUUCGUCGCUGCGUUGUGAUGGUAACCACUCGUGUGUGUGCAUCCCUUGGUUGUCCUGUAGGAAUAUACUGUAAAGUACUUCGGUCAAAACUUGCCUCCUUGCUAAUAUUUUAAAAGUACAGAUCAUAAUGAAUUCUCUUAGAAGCAUUGUAUUUUAUGUACUCCGUUGCUUUGUGUCUCAUUUUUAAUUGAACAUUAAAGGAAUGCAUUAUUUUAAUUGUAACUUUGCCAAUAUCUUUAUCUAAUUGUAACUUGCCAAUAUCUUUGUUGCUGUUUUUGUCCUUUAUAAAAUUUUUGUCGCCAAGAAAGGCAGGAUUACACUUUUUUGUCUUCCACACUGAGUUGGUGUAGUGUAUUCUUGGUUAUCAGAAUACUCAUAGUUUUGAGACUUUGAAAUGGUAAAUAUUCAUGAUGUGUGAAAAAGCAUGAUUCAUAACUUUAUGAUCUAUACACUAAAUGGAAGCUUAGUUGUGUAGAUAGAUUACACAGGGGACUGAGGACAUGUCAAACUGUAAACUGCUUGUGGUUAUGGAUGACUUUGUUCUUUGCUUCUUGUGUUUUUCAGUUUCCUACUAUAUGCACUUGUUAGCUUUUAAAAAAUAAAUGUUAAUUAAAAAA